ensembl:lncRNA novel transcript
AUAAAUUACUUAAUCUUUUUGAGUCUAUUCACUUUAAAAUGAAAAUAAUGCAACUUAUUUAGUAGAGUUAAUAAAUAGCACCUGGAUCAAGGUUUUGUCCAUAUGUGACAGAUGGCACACUCUCUAGAAGAUCUCUCCAUGCCUCUCUGACAGGAACAGUGCUGCAGAGAAUUUUUAUUGUUCAUUAACAUCAAGCAGUAAAUAUGGCUGUAUUUGAAGUGUGGUGUAGAUAAAAUUUGUAUACAUAUAUGUGGAAAUUCCACACACAAGAUUUCACUGCUAUGGAAAUCCCUUCACAGCUCAACAAAUCAUUCAUAGAAGCAAGUUGCUAACCACUGGGAAAAAAAAUCCUCAUAGGAUAUGCUGCCAAUUUGGCCUAGGGUAUAAAAUAGUUUUUAAUUGCCUAGUAGCUAUACCCCUUUCUAAUAAGUAUACAUAUAUAUUUCAGUAGCCUCCUUCUUAAAAUAUACGUGUGUGUGUCUGUGUAUGUGUGUGUGCGCAAGUAUGUGUGUCUGUGCAUGUGUGCCUAUAAAUGUGUGUGUAUGUAUUUCUAAAAAGAAAUAAAUAUUACUUUGAUACUUCCA